rnacentral:rRNA from 1 species
GACAGAGGGUGCAAACGUUGCUCGGAAUCACUGGGCGUAAAGCGCGCGCAGGCGGCCCUUUAAGUCUGACGGUGAAAUGCCGGGGCUCAACCCCGUGCCCGCCGCGGAUACUGGAGGGCUGGAGACACGUAGAGGCAAGCGGAAUUCCGGGUGUAGCGGUGGAAUGCGUAGAGAUCCGGAAGAACACCGGAGGCGAAGGCGGCUUGCUGGGCGUAGUCUGACGCUGAGGCGCGAAAGCGUGGGGAGCGAACAGG